rnacentral:rRNA from 1 species
CCCAAGGGAAUGCCUCAGUAACGGCGAGUGAAGCGGCAAAAGCUCAAAUUUGAAAUCUAGCACCUUCGGUGUUCGAGUUGUAAUUUGAAGAUGGUAACCUUGGGUUUGGCUCUUGUCUAUGUUCCUUGGAACAGGACGUCAUAGAGGGUGAGAAUCCCGUCUGAUGAGAUGCCCAUUCCUAUGUAAGGUGCUAUCGAAGAGUCGAGUUGUUUGGGAAUGCAGCUCUAAGUGGGUGGUAAAUUCCAUCUAAAGCUAAAUAUUGGCGAGAGACCGAUAGCGAACAAGUACAGUGAUGGAAAGAUGAAAAGAACUUUGAAAAGAGAGUGAAAAAGUACGUGAAAUUGUUGAAAGGGAAGGGCAUUAGAUCAGACUUGGUGUUUUACGAUUAUCUUCUCUUCUUGAGUUGUGCACUCGUAUUUCACUGGGCCAGCAUCGAUUCGGAUGGCAAGAUAAUGGCAGUUGAAUGUGGCUUCACUUCGGUGGAGUGUUAUAGCUUCUGCUGAUAUUGCCUGUCUGGAUCGAGGGCUGCGUCUUUUGACUAGGAUGCUGGCGUAAUGAUCUAAUAC